GACGAACGCUGGCGGCGUGCUUAACACAUGCAAGUCGAGCGGCGCGGCGAACGGGAGAGUAACGCGUGAGUAACUGCCCCCCUCUCUGGGAUAACAGUUGGGAACGGCUGCUAAUACCGGAUAGUGGGGGCUGACUCGCGUCCUAUCAGUUUGUGGGUGGGGUAGUGGCCUACCAAGGGGACGAGGGGUGGCCGGCCUGAGAGGGGGACCGGCCACAUGGGUCUAAGAUACGGACCAAACUCCUACGGGAGGCAGUAGAGGGGAAUAUUGCCCAAUGGGGGAAACCCUGAGGCAGAAACGCCGGGUGCGGGAUGAUGGCCUUCGGGUUGUAAACCGCUUUCAUCCAGGACGCGGUAGUGGCAGAAGAAGCACCGGCUAACUACGUGCCAGCAGCCGCGGUAAUAC
rnacentral:rRNA from 1 species